rnacentral:rRNA from 1 species
AAUCUUCCACAAUGGACGAAAGUCUGAUGGAGCAACGCCGCGUGAGCGAAGAAGGUUUUCGGAUCAUAAAGCUCUGUUGCGAGGGAAGAACAAGUACGGGAGUAACUGCCCGUACCUUGACGGUACCUCGUCAGAAAGCCACGGCUCACUACGUGCCGGCAGCCGCGGGAAUACGUAGGUGGCAAGCGUUGGCCGGAAUUAUUGGGCGUAAAGCGAGCGAAGGCGGUCCUUUAAAUCUGAUGUGAAACCCCACGGCUCAACCGUGGAGGGUCAUUGGAAACUGGAGGACUUGAGUACAGAAGAGGAAAGCGGAAUUCCACGUGUAGCGGUGAAAUGCGUAGAGAUGUGGAGGAACACCAGUGGCGAAGGCGGCUUUCUGGUCUGUAACUGACGCUGAGGCGCGAAAGCGUGGGGAGCAAACA